CGAGGAAUUUUGCGCAAUGGGCGAAAGCCUGACGCAGCAACGCCGCGUGGGGGAUGAAGGCCUUCGGGUUGUAAACCCCUUUUGCAGGGGAAGCAACUGACGGUACCCUGCGAAGAAGCCACGGCUAACUACGUG
rnacentral:rRNA from 1 species